GCUGACGACAUCUUUGCCAUGUGCAAUUCAAUCUUUGUAGGAUCUUGAAGCACAAACAAAGUGAUUGUUUGUGCUUUAUCUAAGUGAUUGUUUGAACAGUUUUAUAGCAUGCAUCUUGACAAUUAAUAUAAUUUUGAAGAUCAUUAUCAAGGAAGAAUGUUCAAAGGAAAGUAAAGGCUAAGGAGAAGAUCACGUAAUUAACUACACGGGUCUAGUGAAAAUACUGAAGAAGUAUGACAAGAGAACAGGAGCACUUAUCAGGCAGCCCUUCAUCGAAAAGAAUGCGACGGACAAAAUGGAGUGCCAAAGC